UGCCAUCCGGUGUAUAAAUUGCA
rnacentral:siRNA from 1 species